CGCCUCUAAGGUCGUAUCCGUGCUGGACUGUAAUAAUAAUAAUUGGGGUAAUUGUAUUGCGUGGCAAUAAACAAUUUAAAGUUUAUAAUUUUUAUAUUAUAAACGAUAUAUAAAAUAAUGAUGCCAAUGUGUUAUUUAAUAUAGUUAUUAUAGUUUGUAUAAAAGUAACAUUCUAUAUAAAAAACUAAUUAAAUAUUAACUAAUCAUUAUAUAAUGCGAUGACAAUGCCUAGAAUCAAUUGUAAACGACUUUGGUAACGGGCAAGGUGUUGUAAGUGGUAGAGCAGCUGCCAUACUGCGAUCCACUGAAGCUUAUCCUUU
rnacentral:rRNA from 1 species